GGGCCUUUAGCCUAGUUGGUUAGGGCAUCCAGCUCAUAACUGGAAUAUCUGCGGUUCGAGUCCGCAAAGGCCCA
rnacentral:tRNA from 1 species